GGUGGAUCCCCAGGCCAGGCCGUAACCCCAGUUAAACUCAUGGUAGACUCUCAGGCUGACGCUCUCUAUGAACUUAAUGGGGAAAAGGACCAAGCUGCACACCUGAAGAACAACUGCGAAAAAGGAGACAGAACACACGGGGUCAAAGGUCGUACGUACCUGCAGAGAACAGCAUCACGGCCACUGGCUUGUAGCAGCGACGUCUGGAUCCACAGCACAGCGACACCAGUGCCACAAGGAAGGAGAUCAGGAGACGCAGCACAAACUGGGGUUCUCAGAGAGUGAGGGGUCAUGGGAGGGAGCGCUGAUGUAGCUCCAUUUCUCUCCAGUUACAGUCAAGGAGAUAAAGUUGGUCGGUCUUUACAGCAGACCUCUGGCACCCCCCUGUGGAAAUACAAGCUAUACCAGAGACCGGCAGCUUGUUGCAUUCGAACCCAGAACCUUAAGCCUGUUAGUUGGGAAUUCUUGGAAUAAUCGCUGUAACCCCAGGUCAAUGAUGACCACACUCAGAAGGUCUCCAUCUCGGGUCACUGUGUACUGUCUCUUUAAGAGAAAGGAAGGGCCAGGCCAUGAAACACAAACCACAGUGCGCAUGCGUUGCAGCCUCGAGCAGCGGAUGAGACUCGAAAACAUUUAUACGCAGUACAGAGACAAAAGAAGAUAAAUCGUCUUUAACAGACUUGCAGGAACCAUGGGCAGUGUGUUCCUGCCGGCGGACACGGCCCACUCUGUGCUGCGGCGGCUGCGCAGGGCUAACUUCAUGCUGGAGGAGCUGAAGCAGGGCAAUAUCCAGAGGGAAUGCCGUGAGGAGAUCUGUACCUACGAGGAGGCCCGCGAGG